rnacentral:rRNA from 1 species
CCUGAUGCAGCGACGCCGCGUGAGGGAUGACGGCCUUCGGGUUGUAAACCUCUUUCAGUAGGGAAGAAGCGAAAGUGACGGUACCUGCAGAAGAAGCGCCGGCUAACUACGUGCCAGCAGCCGCGGUAAUACGUAGGGCGCAAGCGUUAUCCGGAAUUAUUGGGCGUAAAGAGCUCGUAGGCGGUUUGUCGCGUCUGCCGUGAAAGUCCGGGGCUCAACUCCGGAUCUGCGGUGGGUACGGGCAGACUAGAGUGAUGUAGGGGAGACUGGAAUUCCUGGUGUAGCGGUGAAAUGCGCAGAUAUCAGGAGGAACACCGAUGGCGAAGGCAGGUCUCUGGGCAUUAACUGACGCUGAGGAGCGAAAGCAUGGGGAGCGAACAGGAUUAGAUACCCUGGUAGUCCAUGCCGUAAACGUUGGGCACUAGGUGUGGGGGACAUUCCACGUUUUCCGCGCCGUAGCUAACGCAUUAAGUGCCCCGCCUGGGGAGUACGGCCGCAAGGCUAAAACUCAAAGGAAUUGACGGGGGCCCGCACAAGCGGCGGAGCAUGCGGAUUAAUUCGAUGCAACGCGAAGAACCUUACCAAGGCUUGACAUGAACCGGAAAUACCUGGAAACAGGUGCCCCGCUUGCGGUC